UACAGAGGUGGCAAGCGUUGCUCGGUAUCACUGGGCUUAAAGGGCGCGUAGGCGGUGCGGUACGGUUUCGGUGAAAUCCCUCGGCCCAACCGAGGAACAGCCGGGGCUACGGCCGCGCUAGACGGCAUCAGGGGACAGUGGAACUCCCGGUGGAGCGGUGAAAUGCGUAGAUAUCGGGAGGAACGCCGGUGGCGAAAGCGACUGUCUGGGGUGCCUGUGACGCUGAGGCGCGAAAGCCAGGGGAUCAAAC
rnacentral:rRNA from 1 species